CAAGUCACAUGAAACAAAAUUGUCAUUCAUCUCAAACAAUCAACAUCUUUACAUGCAAAUUCCAUCAAAAGGACUUUUUCAAGGCUUGUAAUGAGGUUGGGCUAACAAGAAAGUUUGGUUUUUCCGGAAUACAAAGUCCUUGAGUUAAGAGAGCUUUCAAAAUAUUCAACAAUUUAAGCACAACUCUCUUCCUCACCAAUCUCACUUAUUCCCAACUUUUUCCCCUUUUUCUUUUUCAUUGAGCUCUUCUUCAUGCUUUUCUUCUUUUCUUUUCUUUUUCUCAUGAAUUUUUCCUUUCACAACAUUUGAGCUCAAUGUUUUUCACUUGCCUUUCAAUUUUUCCCCCAUACAACCCCAAACUUGAAUUUUUUCAUCACAUACUAUUAAGCUCAUC
rnacentral:lncRNA from 1 species